rnacentral:rRNA from 1 species
AGCGAACGCUGGCGGCAGGCUUAACACAUGCAAGUCGAACGCAUCCUUCGGGGUGAGUGGCAGACGGGUGAGUAACACGUGGGAACGUGCCUUCUGGUUCGGAAUAACCCAGGGAAACUUGGGCUAAUACCGGAUACGCCCCUUCGGGGGGAAAGAUUCAUCGCCGGAAGAGCGGCCCGCGUCUGAUUAGCUAGUUGGUGGGGUAAUGGCCCACCAAGGCGACGAUCAGUAGCUGGUCUGAGAGGAUGAUCAGCCACACUGGGACUGAGACACGGCCCAGACUCCUACGGGAGGCAGCAGUGGGGAAUAUUGGACAAUGGGCGCAAGCCUGAUCCAGCCAUGCCGCGUGAGUGAUGAAGGCCCUAGGGUUGUAAAGCUCUUUCGCACGCGACGAUAAUGACGGUAGCGUGAGAAGAAGCCCCGGCUAACUUCGUGCCAGCCGCCGCGGUAACAC